rnacentral:rRNA from 1 species
AUUGAACGCUGGCGGCAUGCCUUACACAUGCAAGUCGAACGGCAGCACGGGUGCUUGCACCUGGUGGCGAGUGGCGAACGGGUGAGUAAUACAUCGGAUCGUACCUUAUCGUGGGGGAUAACGCAGCGAAAGCUGUGCUAAUACCGCAUACGCCCUGAGGGGGAAAGCGGGGGAUCGCAAGACCUCGCGCGAUUAGAGCGGCCGAUGCCUGAUUAGCUUGUUGGUGGGGUAAAAGCCCACCAAGGCGACGAUCAGUAGCUGGUCUAAGAGGACGAUCAGCCGCACUGGGACUGAGAAACGGCCCAGACUCCUACGGGAGGCAGAAGUGGGGAAUUUUGGACAAUGGAGGCAACCCUGAUCCAGCAAUGCCGCGUGAGUGAAGAAGGCCUUCGGGUUGUAAAGCUCUUUUGUCAGGGAAGAAACACCGGCUCUAACACAGUCCGGGAAUGACGGUACCUGAAGAAUAAGCACCGGCUAACUACGUGCCAGCAGCCGCGGUAA